rnacentral:lncRNA from 1 species
AGCUAAAAAGUUCAAAAACAUAGAGGGCUGUAGAAAAUACUAUUUCAUCAAAGGUUCUAAGGCCUGAAAAAUCAAUGAAAGGGGCUACUACUGUUCCAUUGAAAUUUAACUGUCAAUUUGAAGAAUUUUCACUCUUAAAAUCAAUUUUUGUUUCUUAUCCUGAAAAUGGCUUGAAGCCCGGUUCAACUCAAGAUUAGAUUAGGGGGUCUGUUGAUUCACUAAGACUGAAAUUGGCAUUUGAAUUGUUGCAUUAAAUUAUGGUUUCAAAGCUAGUAUUGUUGUUCAUCUCUAGGUUGCUGAGAGCUGCUGCUUUCGUUUGCUUACAGUUAUCACCCUUUUCCUUCUCAUUUUCCAGGUACAAACUCUGAAUUUCUAAUGAUUUAAAUUCAAUUAGGUGGAAUGAAAGGAAGUGUUGAGUUUUGUUAAUAAUUUUGAUUUCACUUUGAUUCUGUUCUUUUAUGUUGUUUAUGUGUUAAACAUUUGAUUCAAAUGUAGUUAGGCUAGCUGAUGAUGAUUAAUUAAGUUAUCAUUUUGUAGUCAAUUUUGGACUGUUGGACUUUGGGAAUCAUAAUGCGCUUGGAAUUUAAGUUGUUUUGGUUUGAUCCUAAUUAAAUCCCCUUGUAAUUAAUAUUCUCAUGUUGGGCAUUGUUAGAUACAAUAUAGUAAUUAGCCUAUGUUUUUAUCUUCUUCUUUUUUUGACUUGAUUAUUGAAGUCACAUGUGUUGAGGGUGAACUUAAAAACUUCGAAUUAGUAUAUGCUUUCAUGAUGAGUGUUUGACUCAUGUAUUCAUCUGCAUUUGAAAACCAAUUUCAUGCUUCCUACAUAUCAUAUUUUUGUUGUUGAUGGUUGAAUUUCAGUGUUGUCUAAAUGUUAUAGAUUCAUCAGGAUCAAAAAUAUUGGAGGUUGUAGUCCAUUGUAAUAUCCAUAUAGCAAUAAGUUAGUUAACUUGGGUUACGAUUUGAAAAAUAGUGGCCAUUGUCAUAAAUGGUUAAAUGAUAAAUCUUCAACAAUUAUUGAGUUUGAAUGAUUGUAUCUGCCAAUUUGAAAGCAAAUUAGACAUAUUUUCAUUUAUUUGGGCUCAAAUUGGGGACCCCACUAUCUUUUAGGCAGUCCUUCACGUUUUAUUUCUUAUUUUCCUUCGGGCCCAGUGUGGCCAACCUCAAAUGUAGGCUGCCAGGCCUCAAGUUGGACCAAAACACUUAGUCUGGAAUGCCAACUUCUUUCGUCCAAGUAUCUAUCAUUGGGAUGAUCCGAUAGAGAUUUUUUUUUUUAAAGUUUGAGUAAAUAUAAGUCCAACGGCCUUUGUUCAUUUGUCAUUAGGGUAUGUCAUAUUAGGUAAUACAAAAUAAUUUUGGUCUUGUGUUAAUUGAGACAUAUAAAUUGACUAAAUUUUGUAGCAUAUCCUUUAGGGCCGUUUUAAGGUACCAGUGGGAUUACGUAUACGUCAGUGUAACACAAUUACAUUUCUAAAAUCAAAACCGGAGUAUGUGUUCUUGCAACUUUGGCCCAAACUUUCUCAAUAAUAAUAAAACAUUAUUAAUUGUGGACACGUUCACGUGACAUGAUUUUGACGCGCCAAAUAGGCGGGUAUACGUACGCGUAACCCGUUUCAAGAUAAUUUUCUUAAUUUAAAAGCGGUUCGAAGUAAAUGCAUGGGUUCUAAAAUCAGUAAUUAAACAAUUUAGUCAAGCCAAGUAGGAUCAAAGUGACUAUGCUUGAACUACGGAACUCAGGAGUGUCUAACACCUUCUCCCUGGUUAAUAGAAUUCCUUACGCGGAUUUCUGAUUUGCAAGCUGUAAUAACAGAGUCACUCAUUUCCUCGAUUUGGGAUUUAAACUUGUGACUUGGGACACCAUAAAUCUCCCAAGUGGUGAACUGGAUUGAGGGAAGUAUAUAAUGGUCUGAACAAGCCCCAUACCCCCCUAAUGCCCGUCUCUAACACUACAUAUCACAGAAACCCUAAUGCCGCCCGCUAGAAAUCGCCUCCACCGGCGGCAGUGUUCCAAACUGUCCCAAAAAAACACCACACCACCCUCUCAACCCCUUAUUUCCAUCCCCUCUAUCAGUUUCUCUCAAAUCCCCUAAAACCCGUCGAAUAUAAAAAACAAGUAGUCGCCGCCUCCGCCGUGUAUGGCGGAGCCACUGCUAAACCCCACAAUAAGCACACCAUGGACUAACAAUGACUUCCUCUCCCCUAGUCUCACACUCCCAACACUCGAAUACACCCAGAAUGCUUCAAAUAUCGCAUCUGAGUCGAAGCCCUAAAAUUCGAUAAUGAAUCUCAUGGAGUUUAAUGACAUGCAUGGCCCAGGGAUCUCUACUUCUGUGAGACUUAGGAGGUCUCGAGCCGACAAGUUGAGGUUGCCCAGUUUUUCUUUACAAAGAACACCUAGUCGUCACUGUUUAAGUCACCUAUUAUUUUUGAGCUCUCACUGGUAAGUCCCUUGUUCUCAUUCUUCCUUUCUUUCGUGUUGUCCUAUUUUUUCCGUUGCCUUGUUUCGCUUUCUUUAUCUAUUUUGACCUCGCCCAGUCCAGUGUCAAAUGACCUUUAUUUUAGAGUUGAAAUUGGUCCCUAAGUAUCUUAGUCUAAUAAUUUGGUCAGUUCCUUAUGUGCUUUUAUUUAAUGAUCUUCCAAUUAGUAUAUGAUUAAUAUCAGAAACUUUUAUAGAUUGUCCUUGUCGUAUGAUUGUUUAAAUCAGUCUCAUUUUGCUCAUUAGACCAUGCCCAUUAAAAUUUUGAGUCCAUUUGGGGUUUGCAACCCAUUUUAGCUUGACCAGCUGACCUGUUGGUUUCUAAGGUAAAUAUAGGUUUAGACUAUGGUAGUUUAGGUAUUUGUUUAAAGGAAUCUGAGGUGUAAUGACUUAGGAAACUGCCUAGAAGUUGCCUAAGGUACUGACUUGAGCCACAAGUCUAUAAUUUAUGGGUCAGUUAAGUAAAAUAUAGGAAUUAAAAGAGGACUAAAAUGCAAAAUAAAGACCGGCAGGGCUGCCCUAGUUGUUUUCCUAUAAAGGCAUCAUUUCUUGCCUUAGAGGGUAAGGUUUUAAGAGCUAAAAGAUUCAGAAAUAUAGAGGGCUGUAGAAAAUAUUGUUUCAUCAAAGGUUCUAAGGGAUUAAAAAUCAAAGAAAGGGGCUUCUACUAUUUCAUUUAAAUUUAACUCUCAAUUUGAAGAAUUUUCACUCUGAAAAGCAGUCUUUGUUUCUUAUCCUGAAAAUGGCUUGAAGCCCGGUUCAACUCAAGAUUGGUUCAGGGGGUCUGUUGAUUCACGAAGACUGAAAUUGGCAUUUGAACUGUUGCAUUGCAUUUUUGUUUCAAAAUUAGUCUGUUUGUUCAUCUCUGGUGUGUUAAGAGCUGUUGCUUUCAUUUGCUUACAGUAAUCACCCUUUUUCUUCUUAUUUUCCAGGCACAAACUCUAAAUUUCUCCUGAUGUAAACUCAAUUUGAAUAUGGAAUGAAAGGAAGUGUUGAGUUCUGUUAAUAAUUUUGAUUUUACUUUGAUUCUAUUCUUUUAUGAUGUUUAUGUGUUAAACAUUUGAUUCAAAUGUAGUUAGGCUAGCUGAUAUUGAUUAAUUAAGUUCUCAUGUUGUAGUCAAUCGUGGAUUGUUGGACUUUGGGAAUCAUGUUGCGGUUAUACUUUAAGUUGUUAUUUUGGUUUGAUCCAAAUUAAAUCCCCCUGUAGUUAAUAUUCUCCUGUUGGGCGUUGUUAGAUACAAUAUAGUAAUUAGCCUAUGUUUUUUUCCUUUUUUGACUUGUUUAUUGAAGUCACAUGGGUUGAGGAUGAACUAAAAAACUGCAAAUUAGUAUAUGCUUUCAUGAUGAGUGUUAAACUCUUAUAUUUAUCUGCAUUUGAAAAUCAAUUUCAUGUUUCCUACAUAUCAUACUUUCGUUGUUGAUGGUUGAAAUUCAGUGUUGUUUGAAUGCUAUAGUUGCAUCAGGAUCAAUAUUAUAGGAGGUUGUAGUCCAUUGUAAUAUUCAUAUAGCAAUAAGUUCGUUAAAUUGGGUUAUGAUUUGAAAAACAGUGGCUAUUGUCAUAAAUGGUUAAAUAGUAAAUAGUCAUCCAUUGUUGAUUUUGAAUGAUUAUUCUGCUAAUUUGAAGGCAAAUUAGACAUGUUUUCAUUCAUUUGGGCUCGAGUUGGUG